rnacentral:rRNA from 1 species
GAUGAACGCUGGCGGCGUGCCUAAUACAUGCAAGUCGAGCGAACAGAUGAGGAGCUUGCUCCUCUGACGUUAGCGGCGGACGGGUGAGUAACACGUGGAUAACCUACCUAUAAGACUGGGAUAACUUCGGGAAACCGGAGCUAAUACCGGAUAAUAUAUUGAACCGCAUGGUUCAAUAGUGAAAGACGGUUUUGCUGUCACUUAUAGAUGGAUCCGCGCCGCAUUAGCUAGUUGGUAAGGUAACGGCUUACCAAGGCAACGAUGCGUAGCCGACCUGAGAGGUUGAGCGGCCACACUGGAACUGAGACACGGUCCAGACUCCUACGGGAGGCAGCAGUAGGGAAUAUUCCACAAUGGGCGAAAGCCUGACGGAGCAACACCGCGUGAGUGAAGAAGGUCUUCGGAUCGUAAAACCCUGUUAUUAGGGAAGAAAAAAAGCAUAAGAAAAUACGGACGUCUUGACGGUACCUAAACAAAAAGCCACGGCUAACUACGUG